GAAGCUGGAAUCUUCGCCUCUCUUUAGUAUUAGCAUUCUUCUGUCUUUCCAGCAAUGCAAUCCUGUUGUAUCUUGCAUUUCAAAAUUUUUUCCUUAACGCUAGGCAAUACUGAUGUCAAAUUUCAACAGACGACAGAGGAAUAAAGUUGGUGAGAAAGGAGGGAGGUGCAAUUUGUCUUGCAACCUGAGUUCUCAGAUGGAUCCCCCUAAAAUAGGGACACCUGGGUGGCUCAAAGUUUGAGCAGCUGCCUUCGGCUCUGGGCAGGAUCCCGGGAUCCAGGAUCAAGUCCUGCAUUGGGCUCCUUGCAGGGAACCUGCUUCAUCCUCUGCCUGUGUCUCUGCCUCUCUCUGUGUGUGUA